CCAAACUCACUCUUAGAGAUUCUUAAACCUAGGCAGGAUGAAGUCUAAGCCUAGUCAGUGCUUGUGUGUCUUGUGAUGACCUGUAGGAAGUCCCCCACCAUGGUAGCCUCCUCCAGUUACUGUUAACUUUUGUAAUGAGAGGCCCUGGCCAAUGACUGGUAAGAUGAUGUGGUUUGAAAGCUGGUGGCUUUCUCCUUGGGGGACCUAUUUACUGCUGUGACAUUUCUUUGCAGGAAAACAUUUGUUGGGAACACUUUGCUGCUCAUUCUAGAAAUCUGUCCUAGAGGAUUUUUUUUUUUUUUUCAUUUGUUCACUCUUUUUUCCUCUCUCAAGUUCUUUCCAAGUGUCAUAUACUGAUUCCUGUACUUCUGUCUAUAGUUUCUGGGUUCAGUCUUCAAGGGUUUUUUGGAGAUAAAGACAUAAAAAGUAUUGUCACAUAAAUAAACAUAUGGUUACAGAUGUGU
rnacentral:lncRNA from 1 species